rnacentral:rRNA from 1 species
GACAGAGGUGCCGAGCGUUAGGCGGAAUCACUGGGCUUAAAGCGUGUGUAGGCGGGUGCCUAAGUACCUUGUGAAAUCCCACGGCUCAACCGUGGAACGGCCAUUGAUACUGUUAAACUUGAAUUAUUAGGAAGUAACUAGAAUAUGUAGUGUAGCGGUGAAAUGCUUAGAGAUUACAUGGAAUACCAAUUGCGAAGGCAGGUUACUACUAAUGGAUUGACGCUGAUGGACGAAAGCGUGGGUAGCGAACAGG